GCUCCUUGCAACUUGCCAAAGAAGUCCAAGAAUUCCGUUUGUAUCUCUAUAGGUUCCCUGAGGCUUUGUCUUUGCUUAGUUGAUAUGCUUGAAAUUUUAUUCCUUGCUUGUCUGGCUUUCAAUUAGGCAUGAAAAUAUUUGGAAUUAGAAUCUCCAACUACAACCCAGAUGGCUCUGGACCUUUGUCUUAAUAUGCCUUCAUAAAUGUUAUUCCAUUUCUCAAUUUUGUUAACUAGUUGCUUAUCUGAGUUGAUCAAAGUGGGGUUAAAAUGGUCUCUAUUCAGUGCUUCCUGUACUUCUUGCAAUGAGCUUCUCAAAUCAUUCAGCUUUUUCUCCACAAAUGAAUACUUCUUAGUUAAUCCUCUUUAUUCAACUUCUAUUUUUUGCAAUCUUUUCCAAACUCUGUACAUUGCAUAACCCUUUUUUUUAGUCCCAAACCUUGGUUACUAAGUCUUUAAAAGUUGAUUGCUUCAGAAGAACUGUUAGUAGCCUAAAAGGUUUCUUUAUGGGCACAGUGGGGGUUACAAUAUCAAGUAGGAUUGGAGAGUGAUAAGAAUAAUUGGGUUGUAGUUAGUCUCUACUACAUGCCCAUAUUUGUUAAACCAUGCUAUAUUCCCAAAUGCCAGUCUAUAUUAUUGUAUAUUUUAUAAUUUGCCUCUCUUUUAUAGCACCAUGAGAAUUCACACCCUAUUCUAUUCAGAUGGCCUAGUUGCAGGUCAUGGAUGCAUUAUUGGAAGUCUUGGGUCUCUGUUAUUGACACAGGGAGGCCAUUCCCUCUGUACUAGAUAGUUAUUAUAGCGUUGAAGUCACCCAGUAUCAUCCAUGAGAUGCCCUUAUUUAUUUGUAAUUCUCUCAGCUGGUCCCAUAUACUUUUUUCUGUCAACAACUGUGUGAAGACCAUAAAAAAAAGUAACCAGAAAGCUAAAAUUGGAGUUUGUGUCAUCAAUUUGGCAGUGUAUCAAUUGAUUUAUAGUUUUCAAGGGCUGCACUAUCACAUUUUUUGGUUUCCAGCAUACCCAUAUUCUAUCAUUUUCUACAUACCCAUAGUUUGUGUAGAUGGUCCAUCCAGAGUGAAAUUUUUAUUGUAUCCGCUGCAUGUUUUGUUGCUUUAUUCUUGUUUCCAUUAUCCCUAUCACAUCUAUAUUAUUUGUAAAUAGGAAGACAUUUAUCUUCUUCUCUUUGUAGGGCUUGUUCAGACUUUUAAUGUUCCAUGAGGCUAUUUUCAUUUGGGGGGUCACCAGGAGGAGGGAUCGCUGUUAAACAUUUGUAAUCUUGCUGUGCAUUGCUGCUAGUAGCUCCUUCUCUAGUCUGCUGAUUGCUUUUCUGUAGAGUAUUUAUGUUUGCUAAGCCUUUGCAGGUUCUUUAAAUGCAUCAGUCUUUACCGGACAAUCCUCAGCAAAGUGGCCAAACUUGUAGCACACAGUGCAAAAUUUUGGCUUUCAUUCAUACUCAAUGUGCUGUGUUAGGACCCCUCGUGUUGGCCUCUCAAUAUGCAUUUCCUCAGGCAAUGGUUGGGUGAUGUUCAUUUCGAUGAGUAGCCUCGCAUAAGAGAUUCUAUCACAAUACGCCGCCAGCUUAUUCGUGCAGAUAGGCUUACCCAGAUAACUACCAAUCCUUGUAAGAAUUUUUUUAGUCCAGUAUUGUAAGGGUAGGCUAGAGAGUUGAACCCAAAUGGGAAUAACUCGCAUAGACUUAUUUUUCAACUGGAAAUCUGGUUCCUAAUCUAUGAGUACCAUUGGCCUAUUGGGGAAUGUAUAGGGGCCAUUUGUAGUAAUAGCCAGUUUAUCUUCCAUUGAGUCGAACUUGAAUAUGAAAUAAUCAUCAUCGUGCAAGUAGACCUUUGGGGUUUA